rnacentral:rRNA from 1 species
AAGGCUUGACAUAACCGAGAACGCCGCAGAAAUGUGGAACUCUUUGGACACUCGGUUACAGGUGGUGCAUGGUUGUCGUCAGCUCGUGUCGUGAGAUGUUGGGUUAAGUCCCGCAACGAGCGCAACCCUCGUCGUAUGUUGCCAGCACGUGAUGGUGGGAACUCAUAUGAGACUGCCGGGGUCAACUCGGAGGAAGGUGGGGAUGACGUCAAAUCAUCAUGCCCCUUAUGUCUUGGGCUUCACGCAUGCUACAAUGGCCGGUACAAAGGGCUGCGAUGUCGUAAGGCGGAGCGAAUCCCAAAAAGCCGGUCUCAGUUCGGAUUGAGGUCUGCAACUCGACCUCAUGAAGUCGGAGUCGCUAGUAAUCGCAGAUCAGCAACGCUGCGGUGAAUACGUUCCCGGGCC